rnacentral:rRNA from 1 species
GACGAACCGUGCGAACGUUGUUCGGAUUCACUGGGCUUAAAGGGCGCGUAGGCGGGUCAGCAAGUCCGGGGUGAAAGCUUUCGGCUCAACCGGAAAAGGGCCUUGGAUACUGCUGGUCUGGAGGAAGGUAGGGGCGUGUGGAACUUCCGGUGGAGCGGUGAAAUGCGUAGAUAUCGGAAGGAACGCCGGUGGCGAAAGCGACACGCUGGACCUUUUCUGACGCUGAGGCGCGAAGGCCAGGGGAGCAAACGGG